rnacentral:rRNA from 1 species
GAUCUACUUAAAUAGAAGAUAUAUGUUAGAAAUAAAAUUAUUGUAGCAUAAAUAAAAUAAAAUACCUAAGUAGUGGUGAAAGGCCUAGCACUUUUAUUGAUAACUGGAUUAAAAGAAAAUAUAUUAAGUAUAUACGACAAUUUAAAAACGAUAAGGUUUUUAAAAAAAUGAAAUAAAUAUAAAAAUUUAAGCUAUUAUUUAGUAAAACUAUCUAAUAAAUAAAUGAAUAUAAAAAUUAAACUAUAUAAAUCUCAUGAGUCAUCCUUUUAUUUGUUUUAUUAAUAUUACUUUACCAUUAAUAAUGUAUCAAUCAGUAGAUAUAAUUAAAUAUUCUUAAGGAACUCGACAAAUAUUUUAUACGCCUGUUUAUCAAAAACAUAACCAUAAGCAAAUUUUUAUGGUGACGUCCGCCCAGUGAUAAUUUUAACGGCCGCAGUACUUUGACUGUGCAAAGGUAGCAUAAUAACUUGGCUUUUGAUUGGAGUCUGGAAUGAGUGAAAUAACGUAUAAAAAUUGUCUCAAAUAAUAAUUUAACGAAUUUACUUAAGAAGUGAAAAUACUUCUGUAUUUAAUAAAAGACGAGAAGACCCUUAGAAUUUUUACCAUAUAAUUAUUUUAUUUUUACUCGUUUUAGUUGGGGCAACUCUAUUUCAAGUAAAUAAAUAGCAAUAAUAAUUUGAUUAUACCGAUUUAAAUAAAUAAAAAUAAAUUACCUAAGGGAUAACAGCAUAAUUUUAUUAGGUAAGAUUGUGACCUCGAUGUUGGACUAGGUACUGUUAAAGCUAAACGUUUUAUCAUUAUAGUUCUGUUCGAACUUCAAUACCUACAUGAUCUGAGUUCAGACCGGCGUAAGCCAGGUCAGUUUCUAUCUUUAAUACAGUAUAAAAUAGUACGAAGGG